rnacentral:rRNA from 1 species
ACGACGCUGGCGGCGUGCCUAAUACAUGCAAGUACGAGCGAACAGAAGGGAGCUUGCUCCCGGAUGUUAGCGGCGGACGGGUGAGUAACACGUGGGUAACCUGCCUGUAAGACUGGGAUAACUCCGGGAAACCGGAGCUAAUACCGGAUAGUUCCUUGAACCGCAUGGUUCAAGGAUGAAAGACGGUUUCGGCUGUCACUUACAGAUGGACCCGCGGCGCAUUAGCUAGUUGGUGGGGUAAUGGCUCACCAAGGCGACGAUGCGUAGCCGACCUGAGAGGGUGAUCGGCCACACUGGGACUGAGACACGGCCCAGACUCCUACGGGAGGCAGCAGUAGGGAAUCUUCCGCAAUGGACGAAAGUCUGACGGAGC